GAUUAGAAAAAAUAUUACCUCAGCUCAUACAUACCGAUCAAGCUGGUUUUAUUUUACAAAGACAGACGCAGGAUAAUAUUAAACGCUCAUUGCAUAUUAUGGACCAUAUAGAACAGAAUAAGUUAACAGCCCUUUUGGUAAGCCUCGAUGCGGAAAAAGCCUUUGACUCAGUCAGUUGGGCUUUCCUAUACAAAGUUCUGGAACGAUUUGGCUUUCAUUCAAAUUUUUCUAAUGUCAUACGGACUCUCUAUGACAAACCUUCUGCUCAAAUAAAAAUGAAUGGCAAUCUUUCAAACACUAUUACAUUACACCGCGGCUCGCGACAAGGGUGCCCCAUCUCCCCUUUACUCUUCGCUCUCUAUAUCGAACCCCUUGCACAAUGGCUGAGACAGACAGAGAGUAUUAGGGGAGUUAAUAUAAAAGGGGAGGAUCAUAAGGUAGCUCUAUACGCAGAUGAUAUCUUGAUAUAUUUAAGUGACCCUUCUAAUACAUUUCCGAAUUUAAUGAACCUCUUACAAAAAUUUGGUAGUUAUUCUGGUUAUAAAUUGAAUGUACAAAAGACUCAAUUGUUGGCUUUUAAUUACUCCCAUCCAACAUGUCUUACUGACAAAUUCCAGCUAAGCUGGGAUAAUUGCUCAUUGAAAUAUUUAGGUAUACACCUACCAAGUAAUGUUUCAUGGCUUGCAGAGAUGAAAUAUGGCCCCCUUUGGAUAAAAAUGAGAGAAGAUAUCAAAAGGUGGAACUCUGUUUCCUUUCUUAGUCUGAGUCAUAGAAUUGAUUGUGUGAAAAUGAAUAUCCUCCCACGAUAUCUUUUUUUAUUUCAAGCCCUUCCUGUAGAAAUCUCUUUAAAAUAAUUUUCAGAAAUAGAUCAAGUCAUUUCCCGGUUUAUUUGGCAAGGAAAGAAACCUAGGGUUAAAUUUAAAACAUUGCAGCUCUUGAAGGAGGAGGGGGGAAUGGGGUUACCCUAUUUUAAAGGAUAUUACUACGCGGCCCAAAUUAAACCCUUUAUUAACCUAUGUUCCCCAAAUUUUCACGCCAGGUGGAAAGAUAUUGAACUUUCAAUCAUGAAGGACCCCCCGAUUCACGCAUUAUUGGCCUGUACAAACCUAGAUAGGCUUAUAAAGGAUACGCAAAAUCCGUGGAUCAAAACCCAAUUAAAAAUUUGGAAUAAAGUAAAAGGAGAGUAUCAGUUAAAUGAUAAAAUACAGAUAAUUCAAUGGUGUGCUUUUGACCCUGGUUUCAGGCCAAAUUUGAUGGAUAAUCGUUUUAAAUCAUGGAUUUUCAAAGGUAUAACAACUUUUUAUUCACUCACAGAAAAUGGAAAAUUAAGGGAAUUUGAGUAUCUGAAAAAUGAAUACUAUCUUGAAAAGUCAGAUUUUUUCAGAUACCUGCAAGUACGCAAUUAUUUUGAACAUAAUAUUAAACCUAAAACAGACCUUAAUGACCCGAUAUUAAAAACAAUAUUGAGUGCAUAUAAAAAUGCUACUGUUAAAGGGGUUAUUUCUAAGUUUUACAAACGUUUCUUGGUGAAAAAUACCCAUUCCACAGACUACAUAAAAGAAAAAUGGGAAAAGGAAAGCAAUGUGUCAAUAUCUACAGAUGACUGGUUAAAUAUAUGUGAGUUUCAAUGGAAAUGUACAAACUCUUAUAUAUGGCGUGAGUUUAACUGGAAAUGUCUUAUUCAUUUUUUUAUAAAACCAAAGCAAAAAGCACAUUUUGACCCAGGUGGUGCUAAAUGCUGGAGGCUGUGUGGCGCUCGGGAGGCUGAUCACUGGCAUGUAUUUUGGGAAUGCCAAAAAAUCAAACCGUUUUGGGCAGAGAUUGACAAGAUCUUAACUACAAUAUUCAACAAUAAAGUACCUUUACAGUUUUCCUCUCUGUUUUUGGGGAAUUGUGGGUUCCUGCUCAGAAUUGCUGAUAAGUAUUUAUAUGCUAUUCUUACAUCUGCCUGCAAGAAAGCAUUUACAAGACGUUGGCUGCUUCCCGACCCACAGUUUCAGAAUGGAUAGAUAUUGUUAAUGAGAUAUAUGUAAUGGAAUCAAUUACCUUUUCCAUUCGUCUUAAGAAAAGUAUAUUUGUUAGUCGGUGGGCCAAAUGGGUCAAAUAUGUAAGGCCCUUAAGACCAGACUUCAUAGAGGUGCUGAUUUAAUGAUCCUGUGCUUUAUUGUUCUGUCUUCUUACCUAUUCUCUCCUAAUAUGUCUCAAACAAGGUAGUUAUUUAUAUAUUUUGAAAUGCACAAGUUUAUCUCUCCCUAAUUGUUCAAAGUAUGUAUAUGUACUGUUCUGAAAAAAACAACAGCAAAUAGACAGAUAUUAUUACUACUUUUAUUCUGUAAUUCUAUCUUGCUGACUGAAAAUAAAGAAUUAAAAAAAAAAAAAAAACAUACUAUUUUUACAUUUUAAAUACGUAAUCCUGUUACAUGUAUUCCAUUACUCCCCAACCCUGAUUGCCAGGGAACAUACUGUACUGAUAAAAUAUAUACUUUGGAUAAAAGUUUCUACCAAAAUGCAGACACUUCUCAAACUUCUGUUCAAUAGGUACGUGUGUGUUUGAUUUGGUUUUAGUGGUACAAGGACAAUUGUUUUAGGUUACACACUAUUAAUUACGAGGGCAUUAUGCUAUAAAUGUGGUUUAUGAGGACACCCCUAGUUUCCCUGUCAUUUAAAACAUACUGAACAAUGUUUUAAAAUGGCAAAGGUUUUCUGUGAGGGUUAGGUUUAGGGGACAUUAUAUACAGUUUGUACAGUAUAAAAAUCUCUGUUUAUGGAGAGUCCUUGUAAUGAUAGGAGUACCAACCAGUGUGUGUGUGUGUGUGUGUGUGUGUGUGUGUUUGUGUGUGUUUGUGUGUCUGUUGUGCUGAUGUCAUAAGCAUGCAAACCAAACUAUGCUACGAUUUCCUCGUUCCUCAAAAAUGAAACUCAUUUGUGCUGCUAUGCAACAGCAAACACAUUUUCCAUUUUCAGUGAAAGUGUACUAGUUGUGCACUUUUUAAGUGGUUGCUUGAAGCAUUUAUAAGUAAGAUCCCCCAACUAGCUCCUGUCAGAAAAGUUCAACUACAUCAGAGAGAGAUUGCAAGAUGAGCAAUAUUCUCAAUGUGAUCAUUUUACUCAGCACCACCUCACAUUAUUUGAUGUGUGCAUCCACUGUGAAUAUGAGCGCCCAACAUGAGGACAAUGUUACUCUGUCCUGUAACAUGAACUCCAGCUCUUCUAUGGCCUGGUAUCGACUGACCUCAGAGAAGAUGAUUUUACUUUUAUCUGCAACAAAAGGAAAUAUUGGAAAAAAGGUUAUCCUUGAUCAUAAUGAGGACAGUAGCCACUUUCAGCUGGAAGUAGACAGUGUGUGUGAGUCUGUAAGUCUAGUGAUCGUUGGCCUCAGGGAGUCUGAUCUGGGGCUCUAUUACUGUGCUGCUCGUAUCAGAGGAAUGAUGCAUUUUGGGACUGCAGUCAGGCUCAUGUUUACAGAUGUUGAAGAAGUGGGCUUCGCUGAUGCAUCAGACAGUGUGGGCUGCAGUACGCUCUUGAUUUGUGCUUACAUUGCUUGUGGGUUUUGCGGUAUACUUUGUACUUGUGUCCUCUGUCACAGACGAGGUUGUUCUCCAGCCUGUUGCUGCAACUGUAUGAAAGGAAACACAAAUCUGAAGGCAACGCCGGUGCAGUAUGCCAGUCUCAAAUUUGUCAGGCAGUCCAGGGCAGCUGUUCCUGCACCAGUGGAUGUGACAUACACAACGGUUGCCAAUUUCACCCCCUGAUUAUUUUGUGUAUUACAGGUUAUGCACUUCAUAUCAAAAGAGUUUUAUUUCUAUUACAGCCUACUAUACCUUUUAUUUGAAGUCAUUCAUCUGUUAAAAACUGCAACAUUUAAUACUUGUUUUAUUGUAAAUGUUUAUGAAUAUAUGAACAAAUCUUCACUUUUAUAUAUGUAGCAUGAGAUAUAAAGCUAAGAAACAGUGGUGUUUUUCUUCCUAUUUAAGCUGUUCAGUUUUUUUCUGUUUGUAUUUAAUGUACCAACAAUUGUAAGUCACUUUUACAUAUAAGCAACAUAAUCUUAUACUUAACUAAUGAUCAGUGUGAAUAUAAAUAAACUGAAGGCUUGUUUUGAGUGCAUUGGGACGUGUUUGUGUCUGUGAUCAGUGUGGAGUAAAUCACAUACUGUCUGCUGCUCGAUUGUCUGUCUGUCUGUCCGUCUGUCUGUCUCAGUGCUGCUUACCAAUAGAUGCAUACAGUAUCUCCCCCAGAACACACACACACACACACACAAAACCAGAAUUAAAUUCAGUAAUUUAGCACCAUUCAUCUUUGAAUCAGCUGGCUCAGUACAUUGAGUUCACCUGUGAUUCAGAUGUCACAAUAUAUGUUAAGCACAAGAAAAGGUACAUCCCUAUAUACAGUAUAACACUUAAACUAAGAAAAAUGGCUUCACAGUUUUUUU